rnacentral:ncRNA from 1 species
CCCGCUGAACCUAAGUAUAUCAAUAAACGGAGUAGAAGAAACUAACGAGGAUUUUCUCAGUAACAGCGAGUGAAGAGGGAGGAGCCCAGCGCCGAAGCCCCGCGGCAGGUUUGCUGUUAGGCAAUGUGAUGUGUGGGUCGAUUGCUGGGACCACCGCUCUACUCGAAGUCCAGCAUUAAGUGUGGCAAUCAGCGGAUAUAGCCCAUUGAGGGUGAGAGGCCCGUAGCAAAAGCAUAUAUGGAGGCUCAGGCAAGUAAGAUGGUUCACCAGGUCGGCCUUAGAGUCGGGUUUUUUGAAAUUGCAGCCCAAAGUGGGUGGUAAACUCCAUCCAAGGCUAAACACGGGCAGGAGUCCGAUAGCGAACAAAUACCGUGAGGGGAAGUUGAAACCGCAUACAGGUAAACGAGUGGCGUCAAGCUGCUAGCCUCGAGAAUUCAGCUGGCUGGAAUGGUUAUGUGCGUGCGUGGCGGUCCGCUUCUUGUGGGGAGGCAGUGCAAGACUGCAAUUAGUGCGGCAGUCGAUGCAGUGCGUGCUGGGUGGGUGCCGGUGCAUUUUCGCUGUGGCUAACACCACGACCGGUGGAAUUGCCAGCCUGCCGUGGUCAAGUCCUGUCCUUCUGGUUGUUGCUCCACUGCACUCGCCCUGCUCCUACUCCUCUCCAUCGUCGUCGUUGUUGUUACCUUCGUCAUGAUGUCGGUGAUGGUGAUGGUGAUGAUGGUGGGGGUAGGCAAGGAGUGAGUUGGAGCGGUUGGGUCAGGUGGACGUGAUCGCGGAUGGGGUUAGUAGACGGCAUAGUAGUACCUUAGUGCUGCUGCGUGUUAGCAUGUGCUUCCUGUCUCAACAAGUCACUCUCCUGCUCUCUUCCACUGUGAUCAGGAAAGAUGUGGGUGACCCAGCGGGCCGCGGUAGUGAAGACAUCGAGUUCGUCCACCUCAUUGCGGCCACUUGUGGUCAUGUUCAUGGUGUUCGGCAAACACCUCACAGGUGCAGUCAGUGUGCAUGCCACUGUUCAUCAUGCAUGCACGUGCGGUGCGGUGCAGCGAGGUGAGAUCCUGCCGCGUCAUCGUCUUCGAUAGGUGCAUCACCCGCCCGUCCCAUAGCGUGGUCUUUGGUUGUUGCUGCAGCUGCCGCUGUUGCUGGCCUCUUAGGGGCUGACUGGCCGGCUGGCUAGCGAGUUGGCCAAUGCGUCAUCGGGGCGGAGCAUGAACAUACUUGUUAAGACCCGAAAGAUGAUGAACUAUGCUUGCGCAGGUUGAAGCCAGAGGAAACUUUAAUGGCGGACCGUGGAGAUUCUGACAUGCAAAUCGAUUGUCAAACGUGAGCAUAGGGACAAAAGGCUAAUCAAACCAUCUGGUAGCUGGUUCCCUCCGAAGUUUCCCUCAGGAUAGCUGGCACUCAUUGGAAUCAGUUUUAUCCGGCAAAGCGAAUGCUUAGAGGUGCUGAGCUCGAAACGAGCUCAACCCAUUCUCAAACUUUAAAUGGCUGAGAUAUCCAACUCGCUUCACACGCGUGCAUGCAUGCCUUGCAACAGGUGUUGCAGGUGGUGGUGGAGUUGGGCGUUGAACGUGUGAGUACUAAGUGGGCCAUUUUGGUAAGCAGAACUGGCGCUGUGGGAUGAACCAAACGCCUGGUUAAGGUGCCUAAUGCUGACGCUCAUGAGAUACCACAAAAGGUGUUGGUAAAUAUAGACAGUAGGACGGUGGCCAUGGAAGUCGGCAUCCGCUAAGGAGUGUGUAACAACUCAUCUGCCGAAUUGACCAGCCCUGAAAAUGGAUGGUGCUGGCGUGUAGGACCUAUACCAGGCGGUCAUCGCAAGCUACUGCCACACGUAACAGUGUUUGCGGAGCAGUUGCGGAGUGCGAUGUCGAGUAUGGAUGUCGCCGUGGUGAGCGUAAAAGCCUCGAGUGUAAGUCUGGGUGGAGCCGCCACGGGUGCAUAUCUUGGUGGCAGUAGCAAAUUAUCAAGUGAGAACCUUGAGGGCCGAGGUGGAGAAGGCUUCUGUAGGAACAGCAGCUGGCCAUGGGUUAGGCGAUCCUAAGUGAUCUGAUGACUCGGUACAGAGUCGUGGGGUGCCUUGUAUGUUUAUGAUGAUGAUGGUGAUGCCGAUAGUGGCAGCCCCUUGGAGUGAAAGGGAAUUGGGUUAAUAUUCCCGACCCUGCUCGAGGAGAUGGGUGGUGUCGGUGACUGGCCGGCUAGCCGUCCAUUGGCUAGUUGGUUGGUGCGCGGGCACCACCAGGCGCGGUAACGCAAACGAGCUCAUACACGUCGGCAAGAGUUUCGGGAAGAGUUUUCUUUUCUUUUUAAUGACGGUCACCACCCCUGGAAUCGGGUUGUCCGAAGAUAUGGGUUUUACCUCCGUAAAGCACCACCCCUCUUUUGGUGUCCGACCAGUUCUUGUAGGCUCUUGAAAAUCCGAGGAAGGCUGAGUUAUUUUCGUGACAGGCCGUAUUCAUGUCUGCAUCAGGUCUCUAAGGUGAAGAGCCUCUGGCA